rnacentral:tRNA from 1 species
CGCGGGGUAGAGCAGCUGGUAGCUCGUUGGGCUCAUAACCCAAAGGUCACUGGUUCGAGUCCAGUCCCCGCUA